AAUUCACGUCAAAUUUUAAAUAAUUUUCGUUUGGUCUAGGCACAGAUCACUCUGCCAGAGUGACCUCUGUGAUCUGUGGGUUGACGUCAACUGAGUGUCUGUCAUAGAGUAAAUAAAAUAAUAAAUAAUAAAAUGUAUAAAAUAAUUAUUUUAUUUACGUUAUGGUGUCAGCCAGACAAGACCGGAAAGUACUUGUCUGACUAAUUUUCCCAGUGCGUUUGCUGCAAUAAAAUGCUUAAUAAGUGCACAUAAACUAAUGAAAUAUUUGGCAUAAAUUCGUUUAUUCGCAAAGUAAUUUCGAUACUAUCGAGAGUGAGGAAAUAUCGAUUUUAUAAUCGAUAAUGUGUAAUGUGUCAGUGUAUAUCGACCUUGUACUUCAGGAUGUAAAGGCCAUUGACACUGAACUCCACCUGUUGCUUUUGUUUUGUUUGCGUGGAUCCCGAAUGUCAUUAGUAAAUAACCUCACUUGCAUUUUACACGUAGAACCUGUUAAGUUUGUGCUACUGCAAGACAGCUGCCUAGUGGGCCCCAUUUAAGCAUCACCAGUCACUGAUACAUACUAAUAAAAUGCCGAAGGUACUGAAAGGUGGCAAACAAAAAAUCACAUCGAAAGAAAAGCAAAAAUUGAAAAAAGAGUAUCAAGAAACGCAGAAGCAACUAAAAACCAUCGUACUACCGGCUCUAGGGGUAGUUUUCCUAUUCAUCGUAGUCUAUGUGUACCUGAAGACCAGGCCUAUCAGGAGCAACUUCGACUGACGUAAAUCAUCCCCCUUCCCACAUAAACAUUAAGGGAAAUGUUUAAGGCGCAAUAGUUUCUAAUUGUUUUAUUUUGUACAAAAUAAAUAAAUAUUUUCUUAAAAA